GUGUCAGCCGCCGCGGUAAGACGAACCGUGCGAACGUUGUUCGGAAUCACUGGGCUUAAAGGGCGCGUAGGCGGGUCAUCAAGUCGGGGGUGAAAUACUUCAGCUUAACUGGAGAACAGCCUUCGAUACUGGUGGCCUAGAGGGAGGUAGGGGUCUGUGGAACUUCCGGUGGAGCGGUGAAAUGCGUUGAUAUCGGAAGGAACGCCGGUGGCGAAAGCGACGGACUGGACCUUUUCUGACGCUGAGGCGCGAAAGCUAGGGGAGCAAACGGGAUUAGAAACCCCUGUAGUCC
rnacentral:rRNA from 1 species